GGUUAAGUUAGAAAGGGCGCACGGCGGAUGCCUUGGCACUAGGAGCCUAAGAAGGACGGCACUAACACCGAUAUGCUUCGGGGAGCUGUAAGUAAGCAUUGAUCCGAGGAUUUCCGAAUGGGGAAACCCGG
rnacentral:rRNA from 1 species